GUGGCGAACGGGUGAGUAACACGUGAGUAACCUGCCCUUGACUCUGGAAUAAGCGUUGGAAACGACGUCUAAUACUGGAUACGAGCUUCAGCCGCAUGGCUAGGAGCUGGAAAGAAUUUCGGUCAAGGAUGGACUCGCGGCCUAUCAGGUAGUUGGUGAGGUAAUGGCUCACCAAGCCUACGACGGGUAGCCGGCCUGAGAGGGUGACCGGCCACACUGGAACUGAGACACGGUCCAGACUCCUACGGGAGGCAGCAGUGGGGAAUAUUGCACAAUGGGCGCAAGCCUGAUGCAGCAACGCCGCGUGAGGGACGACGGCCUUCGGGUUGUAAACCUCUUUUAGUAGGGAAGAAGCGAUGUGCUUGUCACAUCAUGACGGUACCUGCAGAAAAAGCACCGGCUAACUACGUGCCAGCAGCCGCGGUAAUACGUAGGGUGCAAGCGUUAUCCGGAAUUAUUGGGCGUAAAGAGCUCGUAGGCGGUUUGUCGCGUCUGCUGUGAAAACUGGAGGCUCAACCUCCAGCCUGCAGUGGGUACGGGCAGACUAGAGUGCGGUAGGGGAGAUUGGAAUUCCUGGUGUAGCGGUGGAAU
rnacentral:rRNA from 1 species